rnacentral:rRNA from 1 species
UUACGGGAGGCAGCAGUAGGGAAUCUUCCACAAUGGACGAAAGUCUGAUGGAGCAACGCCGCGUGAGUGAUGAGGGUUUUCGGAUCGUAAAACUCUGUUGUAAGGGAAGAACAAGUACGUGAGGUAAUGCUCGUACCUUGACGGUACCUUGCGAGAAAGCCACGGCUAACUACGUGCCAGCAGCCGCGGUAAUA